rnacentral:lncRNA from 1 species
UGGUUCAUUUUGGUGGAAAUAUAUUUGCAAGAGGAUGGACAAUUUCAGAGCUGUCACUUUCAUACAACCAAACACAGGAGAUUCUUUUCUGUUUUGGUCUGACUCUUGGGCAUUAGGUGACUCAACACUGCCCUUGGCACACAGGUUCGAAAGAUUAUUCUCCUUUGCAAUUGAUACCUUCAGUACUGCUGAGGAGGUGGUCCAAGCUUUUGAGGCAAACUCCAUGACUAGCCUCUUUCAC